AUUGAACGCUGGCGGCAUGCCUUACACAUGCAAGUCGAACGGCAGCGGGGGAGAAGCUUGCUUUUCCUGCCGGCGAGUGGCGAACGGGUGAGUAAUACAUCGGAACGUGCCCUGUAGUGGGGGAUAACUAGUCGAAAGAUUAGCUAAUACCGCAUACGACCUGAGGGUGAAAGUGGGGGACCGCAAGGCCUCAUGCUAUAGGAGCGGCCGAUGUCUGAUUAGCUAGUUGGUGGGGUAAAGGCCUACCAAGGCGACGAUCAGUAGCUGGUCUGGGAGGACGAUCAGCCACACUGGGACUGAGACACGGCCCAGACUCCUACGGGAGGCAGCAGUGGGGAAUUUUGGACAAUGGGCGAAAGCCUGAUCCAGCAAUGCCGCGUGUGUGAAGAAGGCCUUCGGGUUGUAAAGCACUUUUGUCCGGAAAGAAAUGGCUCUGGUUAAUACCUGGGGUCGAUGACGGUACCGGAAGAAUAAGGACCGGCUAACUACGUGCCAGCAGCCACAGUAA
rnacentral:rRNA from 1 species